AGAUCAUAAACCGGCAUCCAAGAGCACCCGUCAUCGGUAUUCCGCGUACCCGUGGCAGGCAUGGCGACAGGGGGACGGGAGUGGGUGGAUGUCGGAAGGCGAGCAGAGUAGGCAACUGUGGGAGGGGCUGCGGGGAAAAAGUGGAGAAAAUAUCUGGUACCGCCGUUGGAGUUGACGAGCGUGCGGAAAUAGAUGAAAUCGGAGGGGGUGGUAAAGGGGCUCGCGGGCGGCGAGGGAUGGCUGCCAAGGCGGCGGAGCCAAGGGGAAAGAGAAGGAUGCUGUGGGAGCGCGUGGUUUUGUCGUCGGUGGAGGCCAAUAAUGCUGGCCCUCGCUGAAACUAUUAUUCUGCAAGCCGUGAGUGCUUGUUGGUAUUUAUCCAUCCGCUUAGCUUGAUCGCCACAGGACCAGGCCAUUCUGCCGUGCUGCUGCUGGUGAUGUUGGUGUGGACAGUUAAAUGUGAUUUGAGCUGGUAAAUAUGGACUGAACACUGCACUUAAGGGGAGCUGCCAUAGCACAUUGUUUGCAUCUUUCAGUUAUUAGCAAAAAAAAAUAAGACCUUUGAGGGGAUGAUGAUUUUCCCCUCUUUACAUGGGGCUGUCUAUAAUAUUUGGUAACGGGUCUGCAGAUGCACCCUACAUCAGUGUGGUUCAGUUGCUCAACUUUCAUUACGUGUCUUGAAAAUUGCAUUCUCCUGAUCUGUUUCAGCA